UAUUAUUUGCUUUAUCCACAUGAUUGCUUCCCCCGAAACUUUCCUGGAAAAACUUGUUCUAUCUAUAUUGCCUCCCACUAUGUUUCAUCAUUGACAUAAGCUGGUACCCUGGAGGGUGUGGAACUGAGGCAGGAGUCAACCAGAGAUCUGCAUCUGUGGACACGGUUGCUGGUGGCUGCUUAUUUCGGAAGGAAAACCGAGAAGAGAAAAGCUAGCUUCCGAGGAGUCUGGGGGCGUAUAAAAUGUUUGAUGAAUGCGCCGGGACCCUCCCCGUGCGAGGAGCUUUGGCUGUGGCGCACCGGCCUCCCACCAAAGAGCACCGGGACGUGUCUGCUGCGAUUCAACCCAUGUAUCAAUGUGAUGAAAAGGGCCCCUUCGGUCAAGAAGUGGUUUUCCGUCACGCUCAAGCAUUUACCAACCUGGUUGCGGUGUGACCUCUGCAGGACGCAGCUUAAGGGGAUGAGGAGAAAUAGGUCUGGAAAUCGAAGAACACAUCCAAGGAGAUAAGUAAAUGUGAGAAAGAGCCUCAUUCCCUCUGAAUCAACAGCAUCACUUCCCAGCAACUCCUGUUCAAGUCCUUCAGGAUGAACACAGGAGAUUAGGCAACAGCUGCAUUUAUAGCUGUAUAAUAUAGCAUAUAUAUCUCUCUCCUUCCUUUCUGAGUUGUUGGUUGUGGUCACUUAGUCAGUUCAUUUUAGAGUUAGUUCUUUCAGGCCUCUCAAUUAUUUAUGUCUUGGCAGUGAAAAAAAUGCCAUCCAAAGUAACCCCAUAAAUUUGCUAAUGUCACCUCAGCUUUUGAACGCUGACCACAAAAUCCUGGACUAUUGACCUUCCAGCAAUACGAUUUAAAGCCAAACUCUUAACUUAUUGACAGCUUAUUGAGACUUACACAGACCAUUUUAAACGUUUAGCCUGGCUGACUGACCAUUGCGGGGGGAAAYAGAGCUCCCUCGGAGUUGUUCGAAGCUUUGAAUGAGGGCUGCCAGCGGCACCAGCUCACACCACAGAGCUCUGCGCWUUCGUGAGCCUCUCCUCGGGCACCGUUUUUAUCAUCUCCGUCGUGGCACCAAGAGCUGGCCUUCGCCAGUACAAUAAGACUUUGUGUUGUCUGCCCUUCCCCUCGCCUCAGAUGGAGGAGAGGCUGUUCCUGCCGGUUCAGGUGACGAAGCCUUCCUGACAACACAAAAUACUAUCACCGCAACACAAAAGUUGUGAGGGAAAUAAAUCUCUGUCCUGAAGGAUUGAAUCGUGUGUG
rnacentral:lncRNA from 1 species